UGACACCACAACUCUAAGAACGUUUCUGUAUGAAACAAUGGCCAUAAUCAACAGCAGGCCACUAAGUGUCGAGCAUCUUCACGAUCCUACUGGUCCUGAACCCCUCACUCCUAACCACAUUCUAACCAUGAAAUCAUCUGUAAUUCUGCCACCUCCUGGACAGUUCUGCAAAGAAGACCUCUAUCUGCACAAAAGGUGGAGAAGAGUGCAGUUUUUGGCCAAUGAAUUUUGGCAACGAUGGAAACGAGAAUACCUGCUAAACCUCCAACAACGACAGAAAUGGCAGAAGACGUCACGAAACUUGCAAGCAGAUGACAUUGUAAUAUUAAAGGAUGACAGUGCACCAAGAAACCGGUGGAAGCUUGCAAGGGUUGUGGAAGCCCUGCCCAGCACAGAUGGCAAGGUGCGAAAGCUAAAGCUUCUGCUCAGUGACACUACCUUUGAUAAGGGAAAACCAAUCACUAAAUCAGUUUACCUUGAGAGGCCUGUUCACAAAGUAGUUACAUUACUUGAGGCCACCUAAAACACACGUAAAGCUAAAUGACCUACACUUAAAUGUACACUCACACAUCACUUCCUUAUAAUUUUCAUUGAGGAAAAUCUCUCCUUUUAAGUCAAUGAGUGAUUUUGGUGGGAGUGUAAAUGCUGUUAAAAUGUUCUGUGUAGAUUUCAUGAUGUAGAUGACUGAUUUAUAAUAAGUUACAUAGUUUCAUGAAUAUAUAUAUAUAUAGUUUGUGUUAAAAUGUCUUUAUUUGAAAUGUACAUGUGUAAAGUGUAAAAGCUAGUGUCUCGUGAGAAUACCCCUUAACGAGAGUACACGAGACCUUUCAUGGACUGCGAGGGAGCAGAUGUCUCUCAUGAAGCGAUUUUAAGCUAAAAGGUUUACUAAAAGAAAAGGUAACACAAAGACUUAAGGACCUCUUUUCAGGACAAGCAGCCAACGAGUUCUCACGGCGUAAAGGCGUAAUGGCGUAUCGGCGUACUGGUGAUGGUGAAGCUGAGGAGAGAAAGCUCAAGUAAUAAACGCCCGUUUCAAA